rnacentral:lncRNA from 1 species
AUGCCUCGGGGGCAAAAGAGUAAGCUCCGUGCCCGUGAGAAACGCCAACAGGCCCGGAGUGAGGCUCAGCAUCUCCAAGAUGCCCAGGCCUCUGCAGUAGAGGAAGAAGAGUUCCCCUUUUUCCCUACCCCUCUGCUUGGUGGUAAUGUCCAGAGCUCCCCUGCUUCUGGGUCAGAUAGAAAAUCCCAGGGGUCUGGGAGAGCCCCUUCCACUACUUCUGCAGGUGCUUCAUGCACCAGAUCUAAUGAUGGUGCUAAGAGCCAAGAUGAAAAACCAAGCACCUCCCAGGCAUUACCCAGCACUGAGUUUUCCUGUAGAACGCCUCUAGACGAGAAGGCAAUUCUGUUGGUGCAAUUUCUGCUGCACAAGUAUAAUCUGAGAGAGUCCAUUACCAAAGAAGAUAUGAUUAAGCAUGUCAUCAAAAAGUACAAGAAGCACUUCACUGUGAUCCUCAAGAAAGCUUCUGAGCUGAUGGUGCUGGCCUUUGGCAUUGAGGUGAAGGAAGUUAACCCCACCACUCAUUGCUAUGCCCUUGUCAGCAAAUUUCAGUGCACCAGUGAUGGCAGACUGCGGGGUGAGGAGAUCAUGCCCAAGACCGGCCUCCUUAUGACCAUCCUCUGUGUGAUCUUCAUGAAGGGCAACUGUGCCACCGAGGAGGAUGUCUGGGAGGUGCUCAAUGUGAUGGGGAUAUAUGCUGGAAGGAAGCACUUCAUCCAUGGGGAACCCAAGAAGCUCAUCACCAAAGAUCUGGUGCAGGAAAGGUAUCUGGAAUACCGCCAGGUGCCCAACAGUGAUCCUCCACGCUAUGAGUUCCUGUGGGGCCCGAGAGCCCAUGCUGAAACCAGCAAAAUGAAAGUUCUUGAAUUCUUGGCCAACAUUCAUGAUACGGUCCCCAGUGCCUUCCCAUCCUGGUAUGAAGAGGCUUUGAGGGAUGAAGAAGAGAGAGCCCGAGCCAGAUUUGCAACCAUGCUUCGCACCAGUGCCCUGGCCAGUGUGCAUUCUGGGGCCAGUGGCCAAGGCAGCUUCCCUCACCUGUAG